rnacentral:tRNA from 1 species
GAGGGUAUAGCUCAGUGGUACACUGUAUGCUUAGCAUGCACAAGGUCCUAGGUUCAAUCCCCAGUACCUCCA